ACUUAGACCACAAACUCUUUUGGAUUCGGGGAUAAUAGAUGUUUUUGCUGAUAUCUUGACCGAAUCUGAAAGAAGGAAGAAAAGUAAACCUGUCAAUUGGUAUCUUCCCGUGAUGUUUUCGAGUGCAGCACUCAAUAGUGAUGCAAGUUCCUUCCUUGACUUUGUUGAACGGCAAAAAUUGAGAGAGAACUUCAUGUUUGAUGACUUGAAAGAUUGUGAGAAGAUAUUUAUCCCUGUUCAUGUCAAAAAGGAUUCAUGCGGACAUUAUUAUUUAUAUAUUAUUCAUAUGAAGAAUCAAGAAAUUGAGAUAUGGGAUUCUCUAUGUGAUCAAUUUAUAGAUAAAGCUAAUCGUGACCAAACAACAC